rnacentral:rRNA from 1 species
GACGAACGCUGGCCGCGUGCUUAACACAUGCCAGUCGAACGCAGUGGCGAACGGGUGAGUCAUACGUUGGUAACCUCCCCUCCUUUUUGGGAUAAGCCUUGGAAACAGGGUCUAAUACCUAAUAACGGGUGUUGGGCUCGAGGCCUAUCAGCUUGUUGGUGGGUGGAUGGCAUACCAAGGCGGUGACGGGUAGACGUCCUGAGAGGGUGACCGGCCACAUUGGGACUGAGAUACGGCCCAGAUUCCUACAGGAGGCAGCAGUGGGGGAGAUUGCACAAUGGGCGAGAGCCUGGUGCAGCGACGCCGCGGGGGGGAUGAAGGCUUUCGGGUUGGAAACCUCGUUCGCUAGCGAACGGGUAGGUGGAGAAGAAGCGCCAGCUAACUACGAGCCAGCCGCCGCGGUAAUUC